rnacentral:rRNA from 1 species
UAUUCUAAAAACAUUUUCCAAUAUUUUUACUUUGUUUCGACUUAUUUCAAAUUUUAUUGAAAUUGACGGGCAAUUUGUACAUUAUAUAAAUAAAAUUCAAAUUAUUAUAUUUAAUAAUUUUACUUUUAAAUCCUAUUUAUUAUAAAUAUUUAAAAUUUAUAAUUCAUUUAAAUUAUUUUAUUAAUGUAACUCAUAUUAAUCUAAUAAAUACUUUAUUUUGAUUUGAAUUUUUUUUAAAUUUAUAAAAUUUCAAUUCUAAUAUUUAUAUAAAAUCUUAAAACAACAAUAUAAAAAUAAUUUUAAUUUAAAUUUUAUUAGUAAUUCUUAUCGUGGAAUAACAAAUUAAUAUACAAGCUCCCCUAAAGUUUUAUAUAACCGCCAUAUUUUAUAAUUUUAAUGUUUUAACAUUUAAUAAUUAAAUUUAUUUUUUAAAUUAAUAUAAUAGGGUAUCUAAUCCUAGUUU